rnacentral:rRNA from 1 species
AACGAACGCUGGCGGCAUGCCUAACACAUGCAAGUCGAACGAGACCUUCGGGUCUAGUGGCGCACGGGUGCGUAACGCGUGGGAACCUGCCCUUAGGUUCGGAAUAACUCCCCGAAAGGGGUGCUAAUACCGGAUAAUGUCUUCGGACCAAAGAUUUAUCGCCUUUGGAUGGGCCCGCGUUGGAUUAGCUAGUUGGUAGGGUAAAAGCCUACCAAGGCGACGAUCCAUAGCUGGUCUGAGAGGAUGAUCAGCCACACUGGGGCUGAGACACGGCCCAGACUCCUACGCGAGGCAGCAGUAGGGACUAUUGGACAAGGGGCCAAAGCCUGAUCCAGCAACGCCGCGUGAGUGAUGAAGGCCUUAGGGUUGUAAAGCUCUUUUACACGGGAUGAUAAUGACAGUACCGGGAGAAUAAGCUCCGGCUAACUACGUG